rnacentral:rRNA from 1 species
AUGUCCGCGGCCUUAACACGCGAGCUCGACGCUCCGCUAUCCGAUCGCUGCUUGACACCACCGCGGCCUCCAUUGUAUGCCUACAAGAAAGAAAAAUGGCUUUGGUCUGCUCGUCCGUUGUCCUCGACACCCUUGGCUCGGAAUUCGAUGACUACACGUACUUACCGGCCCAGGGCACGCGGGGUGGCAUACUGCUUGCGUGGAAGAGCAGGGUCGUGA